rnacentral:rRNA from 1 species
CACGUAGGGGACGAGCGUUGUCCGGAUUCAUUGGGCGUAAAGCGCGCGUAGGCGGCUCGGAAAGUCGGUCGUGAAAUGCCGGGGCUCAACCCCGGGACUGCGUCCGAUACUCCCGAGCUGGAGGCAGGUAGGGGAGAUCGGAAUUCCUGGUGUAGCGGUGAAAUGCGCAGAUAUCAGGAGGAACACCGGUGCCGAAGGCGGAUCUCUGGGCCUUGCCUGACGCUGAGGCGCGAAAGCUAGGGGAGCGAACAGG